rnacentral:rRNA from 1 species
UACGUAGGGUCCGAGCGUUGUCCGGAAUUACUGGGCGUAAAGAGCUCGUAGGUGGUUUGUCGCGUUGUUCGUGAAAACUCACAGCUCAACUGUGGGCGUGCGGGCGAUACGGGCAGACUAGAGUACUGCAGGGGAGACUGGAAUUCCUGGUGUAGCGGUGGAAUGCGCAGAUAUCUGGAGGAACACCGGUGGCGAAGGCGGCAUCCUGGACCGGCAUUGACGCUGAGGAGCGAAAGCCAGGGGAGCAAACGGG